rnacentral:rRNA from 1 species
CGUACACUCCUACGGGAGGCAGCAGUGGGGAAUAUUGGACAAUGGGCGCAAGCCUGAUCCAGCCAUGCCGCGUGAGUGAUGAAGGCCCUAGGGUUGUAAAGCUCUUUCACCGGAGAAGAUAAUGACGGUAUCCGGAGAAGAAGCCCCGGCUAACUUCGUGCCAGCAGCCGCGGUAAUACGAAGGGGGCUAGCGUUGUUCGGAAUUACUGGGCGUAAAGCGCACGUAGGCGGAUCGAUCAGUCAGGGGUGAAAUCCCAGGGCUCAACCCUGGAACUGCCUUUGAUACUGUCGAUCUGGAGUAUGGAAGAGGUGAGUGGAAUUCCGAGUGUAGAGGUGAAAUUCGUAGAUAUUCGGAGGAACACCAGUGGCGAAGGCGGCUCACUGGUCCAUUACUGACGCUGAGGUGCGAAAGCGUGGGGAGCAAACAGGAUUAGAAACCCCAGUAGUCCCAUG